rnacentral:tRNA from 1 species
CCACAUCACCCCUCUGUCAUUUUCUU